AUGCAAGAAGCAGUACUAGAAGAUUUGCUAGCAGAUGUGACCAUAUCCAAAUGCAAGAGGGCAAAGAAACUUGUGAUGGAAAAGCUCAUAGACUCAACUAAUGGUGAAUAUUCUAGAGUAUUUGACUACCACCUUGAGUUAAUUAGGAGCAAUCCUGGUAGUACUGUUGCAGUUACAUUAGACCCUGAAGAGCAUGAGAAGAAUGUGUUUGAAAGGAUGUAUGUUUGUCUAGAUGGCUGCAAGAAGGGGUUUAUGGCUGGAUGUAGAAGAGUUGUUGGGUUAGAUGGUUGUUUUUUGAAGGGUGCUGUGCAUGGACAAAUAUUGUGUGCAAUUGGGAGAGAUGCCAACGACCAGAUGUACCCCAUUGCAUGGGCAACUGUUGAGGUUGAGAGUUAUGAUAGUUGGUACUGGUUUCUAUCAUUUCUUCAAAAGGACAUUCAGAUAAACAAUAAUGGUGAGGGCUGGGUUUUCAUCUCUGAUCAACAAAAGGGUCUCAUAAGAGCAGUGAAUGAAAUAUGUCCAGCAGCUGAACAUAGAAUGUGUGCUAGGCACAUCUAUGCAAAUUGGAGAAAGCAACACAGGGAGAAGAUAUAUCAGAAAAUAUUUUGGGCAUGUGCAAAAGCUUCUGACAGAACAGGAUUCAACUAUCAUAGAGCAAAGCUUGCUCAAAAAACAGAAGAAGGGGCAAAAGAUGUAAUGAAAACCAAUCCUGAACAUUGGAGCAGGGCUUUUUUCAAACUUGGCUCAUAUUGUGAUUCUGUAGAAAACAAUAUGUGUGAGUCCUUCAACAACUCCAUCAUGAGAGCAAGAUUUUAUCCUGUUAUUACUAGUCAUGAGAUCAUAAGAAAAAAGGUCAUGGCUAGAAUUCAAGAUAACAGAGCAAAGCCUGCAAAGUGGAGUGGAACUAUAUGCCCUAAUGUGUUCAAGAAGCUGCAGCUCAACAUAAAGAGAUCAGGAAGAUGCAGAGUGUUGUGGAAUGGCAAAGAUGGCUUUGAAGUGCAAGAAGGUGAGUAUAGAAGGUUCACAGUUGAUCUGGAGAAAUGGACUUGUUCUUGCAGAUAUUGGGAGCUCUCUGGACUACCUUGUGCUCAUGCAAUCAGUUCAAUAUACACAUGUGGUUUGGUACUUGAUGAUUUCAUAGCAGAUUGUUACUCCAUCAACACAUACAACAAAAUAUAUGACCAUGUGCUGCAACCAGUGGAGGGCAAAGAAAGCUGGCCUGUUUCUGACAACCCUAGACCAGAACCUCCUGUAAGGGUUAAUAAUAAACCUGGAAGAAAGAAGACAGAAAGAACUAGAGAGGAGCAAGAGAUGCCCAAAAGCAGCAAAAUUUCAAGGAAAUGA
rnacentral:rRNA from 1 species